rnacentral:misc_RNA from 1 species
GAUGAAGAACGUAGCGAAAUGCGAUAAGUAAUGUGAAUUGCAGAAUUCAGUGAACCAUCGAAUCUUUGAACGCACAUUGCGCCCGGCAGUAAUCUGCCGGGCAUGCCUGUCCGAGCGUCAUUUCUCCCCUCGAGCGCAGCUUUCCCCCCCGGGGGAGGGCCGCGCCCGGUGUUGGGGCGCUACGGAGGAGCCCAGCGCUCCCCCGUAGGCCCCGAAAUGUAGUGGCGGUCCCGCCGCGGCGCCCCCUGCGUAGUAGUUUUACAACUCGCAUCGGGUCCCGGCGGAGGCCAGCCGUCAAACCCCCCAACUUCAAUAGUUUGUCCUCGGAUCAGGUAGGGUUACCCGCUGAACUUAAGCAUAUCAAUAAGCGGAGGA